rnacentral:rRNA from 1 species
UACGGGGGGGGCAAGCGUUGUUCGGAAUUACUGGGCGUAAAGGGCGCGUAGGCGGCCAACUAAGUCAGACGUGAAAUCCCUCGGCUUAACCGGGGAACUGCAUCUGAUACUGGAUGGCUUGAGUUCGGGAGAGGGAUGCGGAAUUCCAGGUGUAGCGGUGAAAUGCGUAGAUAUCUGGAGGAACACCGGUGGCGAAGGCGGCAUCCUGGACCGACACUGACGCUGAGGAGCGAAAGCCAGGGGAGCAAAGCGGG